GUGUUCCUCUUGUUGCUUGGCCAACAGUUUUGUACCCUGUAAUGGACUGUUUUCUUUUUCUUAGCAUAAGCUUUGUGAUAAUGUGUGUGUGUGUGUGUGUGUGUGUGUGUGUGUGUGUGUGUAUUAAAAAUUUAACUUAAAUCAGUACUACAUGACCACAAUUAUUUGGUGUAGCCGUGUAUGAAAUUUAAAAAACAUAUUAUAGUUAGCUGGCCACUAUUAUCCAAAUAAAACGUGACAGUCAUAUUUUUUUUUUAUUUUGCUCUGAUAAUUUGCUCUACAAUUAUUAUUAAUAAGCACAAAAUGUAGGCUUUCAUUUCCAUAUCAAUUCAAUUAUUUAAUUGUAUUUGGGCUCUUUAUUUAUCUAGGUUUCUGAUGCAGUCAUCAUUCGGAGUUUUUGAGGGGAAAACAGGCCAGAUGUUUUUCACGUAUGACCAAGUGGCUGUGGAAACAAAGCGUUAUUACACAGCAGGAAAGCUCAUUUCUUGGUCUCUAAUGCACGGUGGACCUAGUUUCAAUGCACUAAAUACCACAUUGUACAAAUUAAUGUGUGGCCAGGCAGAUUCUGCCGAAGAAUUUGAUUGGCAGGACCUGCCAGAUGGGGAAAUUCAGGAUAAAGUGCGGCAGGUAUGCAUCUUCACACCGUUCAAACAGAAGGCAUUUAUGAUUUGUGAGAGUAAUGGAGUUUCUUUCUUUUAAGGUUUUUUUUUGUCAGACCCAAAGAGCGAAUAGUGUCAAGCCUGGGAGACUGGAUUGCUGACUGUGGUGUGCCUGGAAUUUUCAGUGCAGCACCUAAUAUGAGACGGAUCUAUGGUCAGCUAAUCAAACACCACAUUUACUUCAGAACUGCAGACAUGAUCGCCCAAUUCAAGGAAGGCAUGAACUCCUGUGGCAACUUGUGGCAGAUUGUCGAAAAAAACUGGAAGGUCUUCCUUCCCUUGUUCACAAAUGAGGAGAAACAAUUAACAAGAGAUGAAUUUAGAGCCCUAUUCACCGUUUGCUGGAGUGAGGAGGGAAGCAACCUCAGGGAAAAGGAGGAAGACACCAUAUUUUGCUGGGAGCUCCUGCUGAAUUCAAUUCAGGAAAAACAAUCAACAAUCACCUUCCAGGAGAUGCUGGUAUUUAUUACUGGUGCAGACAGCAUUCCCCCACUGGGCUUCCCCGGAGAACCGAGAAUUGAGUUUUACACUCAAGAAAAUCGCCGGCUUCCAUUUGCAUCAACUUGUGGCAUGGUGCUCUUUUUGCCUCGAGGCAUCCAAGAAGAGGAGGAGUUGACUGACCUGCUUAACACAGCACUCAAAGGUUACCUUGGAUUUGGAAAAAUUUAAUUCAGUUAAUUUCGUCAAGUGUUAAUUAAAGGGAUAGUUGACCCUAAAAAUAAUUUUCUGUCAUUAAUUACUCACCCUCAUGUUGUUCCAAACCCACCCAUAAAAGUUUUGUGAACCCAUAAACAAAUUAAGAUAUUUUUAAUGAAAUCUGAGAGCUUUCUGUCCCUUCAUUACAUCUAUGUAACUACCAAUGUCAUGCAUCAAAAAGUUCAUAAAUAAAUCGUAAAACGAAUCCA
ensembl:lncRNA